AUGGGAAAGAGGAAGGACUUGGGGCCGGGAGAAGAUUUUUGUUGUGCUUUGGCUGAAAGUUUUGGUGUGGAGGACUUGCUGAGUUUAGUUGGAGCUGUCCAGUGGAUGGAGAAGAGGAGGACACAGCUUGUGCUCUGAGAGAAGGAGUGCUCCUGACUGGGUGAUUGGCGAUGGCAGAGGCCAUGUUGCCUUUGCUUUGGAGAUGGGGUUUCGGGGUCCCUUGUGUUCUCAAAGUGCUUCUCCAGACCUUGUUUCUGCCCCUUCCCCAUGCUGAACAGAGAGAGUGGGAAUAGAUUACUUUUUCUUCUUCUUUUUUUUAUUUGUGUGACAUGGGGCCUGGGCACUGUCCCUCAGC